rnacentral:lncRNA from 1 species
CCUGAGGUCACCCAGCAUGAGCCUUGGUCUUUUCAGCAGGUGCUGGAGCCUGAGGCCCCAGGCCACAUAUCUCCAUCUGUGCGGCCCCCACCCUGGGCACCUCCAACAAGCCCAGGCUCUGCCAAGCCCCCACAAGAGAGGUGGGCCAAACCUGGGUAUUGAAGUGGGAAUGGGGGGCCUGGAGCCAGUAGGCUCAUUCUUCCUCCACAUCUGUCUAGGAACCAUAGUGACUGGACACAGACACGAGUCCUGGCAGAGAUGCUGAUGGGAGAGGAAGUGGUACCCUCUGCACCACCCCUGCCUGCAGGGCCCUCAAACAUGCCACAAGUGCUAAGAGGAGGAUCUGGGAUCCCAAACCAGACCCCAAGACUGGAAACCCUCACACACCAGAUCAACAGCUCCCUGAACCCCAGCCAGAGACAACCACAGCCCAGCGAGGACACACAGAGCCCUGGCCAAGGCCUCUCUUCUUAUUAAAGAUUGCCAGACUGGCUGUGCCCA